UGGGGAAUAUUGCACAAUGGGCGCAAGCCUGAUGCAGCCAUGCCGCGGGUAUGAAGAAGGCCUUCGGGUUGUAAAGUACUUUCAGCGGGGAGGAAGGUGUUGAGGCUAAUAACCUCAGCAAUUGACGUUACCCGCAGAAGAAGCACCGGCUAACUCCGUGCCAGCAGCCGCGGUAAUACGGAGGGUGCAAGCGUUAAUCGGAAUUCCUGGGCGUAAAGCGCACGCAGGCGGUCUGUCAAGUCGGAUGUGAAAUCCCCGGGCUCAACCUGGGAACUGCAUUCGAAACUGGCAGGCUAGAGUCUUGUAGAGGGGGGUAGAAUUCCAGGUGUAGCGGUGAAAUGCGUAGAGAUCUGGAGGAAUACCGGUGGCGAAGGCGGCCCCCUGGACAAAGACUGACGCUCAGGUGCGAAAGCGUGGGGAGCAAACA
rnacentral:rRNA from 1 species